CCCCUGAUGGUCUAGUUGGAUAUGGCGUUCGGCUGUAAACCGAAAGGUCGCCGGCUCGAUUCCGGCUCGGGGGA
rnacentral:tRNA from 1 species